CAGUAGCCGCGGGAAUACGUAGGGUGCGAGCGUUAAUCGGAAUUACUGGGCGUAAAGCGUGCGCAGGCGGUUGUGUAAGACAGGUGUGAAAUCCCCGGGCUUAACCUGGGAACUGCGCUUGUGACUGCACAGCUAGAGUAUGGCAGAGGGGGGUGGAAUUCCACAUGUAGCAGUGAAAUGCGUAGAGAUGUGAGGAACACCGAUGGCGAAGGCAGCCCCCUGGGCCAAUACUGACGCUCAUGCACGAAAGCGUGGGGAGCAAACAGGAUUAGAUACCCGUGUAGUCCCUGUCUCUUAUACA
rnacentral:rRNA from 1 species